CUUGUGUGUCAAGCAAUCCUGCUUCGGUAGCAGACUUCGGUCAAGGAAAUCACUUCAAGCAAUGGCUUUGGAUCGACCUGACUUCUUAGAAAGGAAAGUCGGUGAAUGAAAUCCGUUGAAAUAAGAAGUCUUUAUGGCUCAAGCAGCUAGCAAACCUCCUUAAUUGAGAAAGUCAAGCAUGUCAGCACGCCCCCUACCUAUGUAGUUGGCUUCCCGGUAGUUUGUGGGACGCCAUUGGAAUCGGUCUAUCUAAAUGGCCUAUCUCCAUAUGUAUUCUUGAAGUGCCUUUCUCAUAGUUCCCUUCCCGGGCAUUGAUUGAGAGGGAAUAGACUUCCCCACUGAACGAGGAAGGCAGCAAUCUCCUUAAGAUAGAAGGGCAAUCCAAAAAAGAAGCGGCCAGAGGAGACAUUCAUUAAUAACAGAUCUCGACCCCUCACCCGUACUGAUGGGUUCGUCGGGAUUUGAUCCCAUUCCGUUCAGAAGCGUUCUGCUCAUUGAGUUUUGUAAAAGGUUCCGGUCUUUCUUCGGUGAAUCUCGAGGUCUUUCUGAUGGCUGCGCUCAGCCUAAUGUUAUCUACGUUGACCCUUCUCAGACUAGUUUACAACUAAGAGGACGGUUUUCAAAGCAAGAAGCAAGUGGAAAAACGGCUUGUUACAGUGAAUUCGAAAGUAGGCAUAUCUGCUGUUGCAUAGUUAUAUAUUCCUUUAAUCGCUAAUCACUGUUGAGUGUGACUAUCCCAUCCUACAUGGGUUUCAGGCUAAAAGAGGGCUUUUGGGCGAAAAGGAGGAAAGCAUUGGUUUAUGCCCACCCGGCUGAAAGGAGGCUUUCUGGCCGGUGAAAAAGAGGAGAGAAGGGGAGAAGGAGCUCAGAGCACUCUCAAGUGAGUUGGCAGGGACAGGGUCUUCUAUCAGGACUCGCAGACAACUUCCAAUGCCUUCCAGGCAGAAUGAAAAAUCUAUAGAAGGUCCAAAAGGGACUAUCUUCAUAGUAAAGAAGUUAUCCUUUCUUGCGUCAUCAGCUUGAUAUCAGAAUCGUUGAACGUAUAGCUUGUGGUACGGACUUCACGCGGGAUGUUUCCGAGCUAGAUUGCAAAACCGAAAGCCAGGGGGAGGGGUUUGUUUAACAUCAAGACUCUGGCAGAUCUUUCAUCUAGCUUGAUGGGCUAUUCUUUGCACAGUGAGGCGCUUUUAAGCGAGUGAAAGUAGUCUUUGAAAGCUGUCUUUUGACUAAGCCUUCGCAUACAUAAAAAUUCCUAUAUCAAUCUAUUCCAAGACAUCUGGAAUUCUCUGAUUAAGACGUAGCCGGGUAGUCUCCGAUCGGGUGAAGGAAUGCUAGUGUGCAAGCUCUUCUCAAAACAAAAGAAGAAAGGCCUAUGGUUCAAAGCCCUAUAGCGCUAGCCAGCAAGCAUUAGAUGAAACCGAUUUUGUCUAUUUCGGAUAACCCUUUCAUGCUUCUUUGUAGCAUACUGAAGAUGCUGCGGGAUAAACGAUCUUUGAAAGGUAAAUGAAUGCUUAUCCCGUGGAUGCGACAUUCGCGGUCUUAGCACUUUCCCUCUUUUAAGUAGGAAUCUGCUAAGGCUAGGCACCUUCUUCAAAAGUUAGAGAUUCAUCUUUCAAAUGGCCAGUGGAAGAAUGCCCUGUGGGACUUGAGGAAGAGAAGAGAGUAGGGUGUUAGGGAGGAGAAAGAACUGAGCUUGACUUUCUCAACAAAAAGCGAAAGCGCUAUGCUAGCUUGGCAUGGAAGCUAUAGCGAAUAGAAGUAAGGAACCUUGGCUCAUUCACCAAGGCUGAGACUCUCUAGCUCUGCUCUGGUUCUGCAUCUAAAAUCAGUAGCUCUGCUAAGGAAUCAAACAUCCAAUCAAUCCGAGAAGAGCAUCCAAUACGAAUCACGUCCGAGACGGGAGAAAGAGCGUAGUAGUAAAGAAAGCGAACUCAUUUCUUCGCAAAUGGCACCAUAGCCAACGCUACGCUCUAUACUAUCUAAAACAAUUAUUUCUGGCUGGUAGGGGGCCUUCCGUAUGAAAGAGAAAGGAAGCGACUAACCAAGAAAUCAUACAUGCAAAAAGAGAAAGGGAAUGGUUAGUGAAUCCGAACAUGAGUGGGAUCGAGGAAGAUAGGGCGUCUGGCUUCGAGGUUAUGCAGCUAGAAUUGGAGUUGCUACAAACUUGAAUGUUGAACUCUGGGCUUGGGCUGUCCGUACUGGUCUUCGGAUUGCCUUAGCUCGAAGCUUCGAAAAGGGAUAUUCGAAAAAAAAGGAUAGGGCAGACUAAGACUAAGGUUGCUUUGCUUCCUUCACGUGAAAAUGAUAAAAUGGACAAGCAAAUCGAAAAUGAAGAACGAGGAGGCAUUGCCUUCUCUUCUGCCAUCUAGCCUCUCCCUCCUUCAAGCUACGGAUAAAAAAGAAAGUCAGGGAGAGCGGGCUAGACAGCGAGUAAGACAGCUAGGUCAAUAGGAGCAAUCCAUCGAGUGGGAGAAAGACAGUUACACCAAUCCCGUGAGAAAUCCUCUUUGAAGUUGAAGCGGGUAAGCAGGCCUUUCUUUUAUUCAAGCUCUUGAAAAUGUCAGGAAGUCAAAUGGGAAAUUGGAUUGAGGAACUGAGCAAGCAAUCCAAUGAUAGUCUCUAUCUUUGAAAGCCAACCCAGUUUAAAGUAGGGAUUUUAGGCACAAAAGCUGCGAAUUCUCUUGUUGCGCUUACGCUUAUUCCGACAACAGAUUCAUCGGUCACUGGAUGCGUGCUAACAGAAAAGAAGAAAGUCUGAAAUUCAUUCAUAAGGUAGGUAAGCAAGCCGCCCUGGUGCCAAACUAAAGACAAGGAUCACAUCGAUAAGAGCAAAAGCAAAGACGGCUUAUGCCAAAUAUCUUGAACUCAAAGAAAACCAAGCCUAACUACUUUCAUACCAGGAAAUCGAAGAUGUGCCAAAUCGUUCUCUAUCGAAUCGUAGUCUAGAGCCAAAUGGAACUGAUUCCACUUGACUUGAGCAAGAAUAAGUCAAUUUCCCACGGUCAAGCCUAGUAGAGCUCCUAGUCCGACAAGACUAGCAAACAUGCUACCGUUAACCAUGCUACCACAGAAAGGAAGGGAAAGAGAUCGGAAAGCACGCAACCAAACUGAACGCCAGCGCUUUCACUGGGAAAGUCUUUGUCUCUAGCCAAAGACCUGCAUUCAAGCCCCAUAAUAGGAUGGAAAGCCCAUGGAAUGAAAUAAGUGACUCUACCCUACGUCGAACAAGAGUUGGCUUCUUUUCUAAUUCUAAAAGGCCUACUAUGUUGCCUUUCUUGACUUGCUGCCUUAGCUAGCUCCCUUUUGUACCGGUUCCCCAAGGUCUGAUUUUGCCCUUAACCCAGUGCCCAUGGAGAUAACAAGAUUAACAAAAGAUUUUCUCGGUGCGAAGAAUAGCCCUACUCCUGUAUCCUCAAAUAUUCUAUUUUAGUUAGCUACUCACUCAGUCCACAGAUUCGGAUUAGUCAAAAAAAUAGAACUAGACAGAUCAAGGAGAGAGAAGGCUCAUCGAUCAGUCUUAGCUAUGGUUCCAUUUCUUUAUUCAGUCAGCCAGGCAGAAGUGGAAAAUCAAAUAGAUAGAGUAGAUCCUAUUCUAGAUGGAUUAGAUAGAAACCUUACCUUAGCGUGAUUCCAUGCCUGACUUUCCCGAUAGCGGAAUCUAUAGAUGUUCCCAUGGAGCAGUAACUAGGUCCAGUGCCCAAAAAGGGAAGCUUAUCGAAGGGAGGAGUGGAAGCUGCUCUGCUAAUGCCUUGGCCAAGAGACGACUUAUAUCUACAUCCAUCCUCAUAGUAAGAAAAAGCCAGUGAAAGCUCUCUUCUAGGCGCUUAUUCCCACAGCAGACUCAAUAGCUGCAAUUACGGAUUCAAUUGCGACAAGAUCGUAUUCUUCCUUUUUUUAUUAACGUGCAAAACCUUUUUGUCCAAUUCUAGGAACUGUCAGGUAAGAACCGAUUCACUUCCUCACAACCUAGCAUUUUAUGUCCCUGGGUACCUUUACUCUAGUUUCAAAGGUUUCUAGCACUUGCUUACUGAGCUAGGGGGAGCUCCUGUCCCUUGCUAUUGCAGUCACAUAAAGGUUAAGAGCGAGGGGAUCAUUCACUUUGAAAAGCGAAAGGAUGAAGACUAAUCCUCGUUUCUUUUUUUCUAUAUAUAUCUAUAGGAUAAAGCCAUAAGCUACAUGCUUAUCUAACUCCUGUCUAUAUAAAGAAGGUUUCUCUUGUGUGACACAAGAAAGACAACCUCGAGCUCGAGACUGACAGUGCAGGGCAACCUGUCUUCUUUUUUAUUGUUUUUUUUAUAAUAAGAGCGAGAUGCAGUAGUCUCCUUAGUUAGCAUCCAAGACUCAACUGUCAAAAGCUCAGAAAAAAGGUUCCAAGACGGUGCGAAGACCUAGACCUAAGCCUAAGCCUUCAACUCCGCAAAUAUCGAUAGUCGAAUGGAGGGGAAUGAGGGAGCAAGAUUCGGAGAGAGAGAAGGGAAUGAAUGGCCUAUCAAUCCUUUUGUAUUCUUUUCCCCAGUGGACAUAAGAAGAAAGUUUGUCUACUAGAAUAUGACUCGAGCAUUGAUGAAUAGCUUAUUCAACAAUCUCAAGAGGCAUUGUGCCUUUUUGUGAUCUUAUCCUCUUUUGGGCAUGUUUGACUAGUGUAAUCAGUCCCUUGCUUUCCUUCCCCGCUGUCACUUCGCUGGAUAGAAGUUCCUUCUAAUUAGAUAAGGGAUAUGCUUUUGUAAUAGCAAUUGGAUGCUUUCUCAACACGGAUUCCAAGGCUUAUUCACCAUCAAGCGCGAUAAGAGCUGCUAUUUACUCAAGAGCGGCUAGUCUUGCAGCGGCAACUGCUUGAGCUCCUACUCUCACUGCGGUUACGAAGACAACAAAGGGAUAUUGAAAAGAGGGAGCACAAGAGCUCUGAGUCAUCCAACAAGGCUUACUGGAAAAGACUAGAAGAGUAAGGUCAUCAGUCCCAGAGCCUAUGAGUGCCAUGCAAACAGCACUGAUUCACCAGAAAGACCGUGACGGUUCAUGUCCAGCUCCUUCUAUUCUAUAGUUCCUUCCCUCUUUCCUUCACCACCAGCUGGAGCGCAGUCUUCGCCGGUCUCCAGGUUAUCAACAAGACAAGACCUAUCACGUGACUACGAGCUUUUUCCUUACUCAGACAGACCCCAAGCAGGCACGGUGACAAGACUUUGAUGCGGGGUUCGGAAGAUAGGCUUGCAACGGAUUCAACCGAUCGAUUCCCCGUGGCAUAUAAAGAUUGGCGAAGCAUAAGGUUAGUAACAUCGGUGCUGAUAACUUUUUUCUCCUUCGGGGGUGGGCUUUGUAAGAGUUGGGCGAGAUGCAAGACUUUUUCUUCAAGGAGUUAGAGCAGAAGUUGUUUACUCGUAUAUAUAAAAGAAUAAGACCGGCUUACCAUUCUAUUAAAUAAAAUGAAAGGGUUGAGAGUGGAUUCCUUUCUUCAAUGCAUUCCACCGAGGCGACUAGGGCACCUUUUUUGUAAGAGACGCUCAGCUCAAGCCAACUUCUAUCAGUUCAGGCGGAAGGUCAGGGGGAGUGGUACAAUUAGGCCUUCCCUUCGGUAUGCGAUAUCAGUAUGUAAAGUUCAUUUCUCUGCCCAGUCAAAAGCUUUUGAAACUUCUGGUUUGAGGGACUUCACCGCUAACGAGCAUCGAUAAGCUGUCGCAAGCAAUCAAAGCGAUUCCCUUCCUUAUUCUAAUAGAAAAGGUAAUCCGGGCCCUCCCCCUGUCUACAGCUAUGCUAUCUCUAUCACUGCUAAGGUCAGGUUUUUUUUGCUGGAUCAGAUAUGGAGAUUUCAGCCCUUUCCUUCCUUGUUUGCAUUCCAGGUUGGUUCUAAAGAAAGGGUUGGAAAAUGGAAUCAAACAAAAGGUCAGAUAGGCCUCCCGUCCCAUUCUAUUUCCUAAGACAAGAUCCGUCGUGGUUCGGAGUCACGUACUAGCCUCGCCCUAUCUAAAACUAAAAGGCGGAUGGAAGAUGGCCUUCUUAAUGAGCUCUCUCACUUUACUUUAUUGGUAUAGCAUUUCUUGCUAGAUCGGAUUAAGAGUGACUUCUUCCGCUGUCUAUGUUUUCAAACAUUUCAUCGGUGUCGAAAUUUUAUUCAUCUCAGCCAGUGUAGGCUUGCUCCGCACACAAAGGCUACAUCUGGGCCUUUCAUUAAUUUGACUUUUCAAUUCAUUUUGGAAGCCCUUCCUUCGCUCCGGGCACGCUGUUUAGAUCUAUUUCGGUUGCCAAUGAAAUGGAAUAUGGGGAACUCUCCGUCUAAGUGGUUAAUCUGACGAGUCAAUUCUCAAUGUGAUGCUGCUAUCCGUUCGACGAUCCUACUUAUGAUGUCACCCUCGCCUCUCCCUCCCAGUGGAAUAUCCCAUUCUCUAUCCAAUUCUGGAAGAAUGGAUCAUGAAAGAUUAUUUCGUGAGAUGCCGAUAAGGAACAGCCUAUAAAAGCGGGUGGAAGGGAAUGAAAGCACUCCUUUGAUAGAAAAAUAUAGAGAUUUUUUAGAGCUAGGGGCAGGCCAUCUAUUCCUGCUUUACUUUCUUAAAAGAAGCCUUAGAUCUCUUUCUCGGUCGAGGUGGGAGUAGGCAGUUCUCUAUGAACUGGAUGUUGAAUUAUCAAAAAGAUGAGAGGAAGGCGCUUCUUCGAUUAGGUGUCUCGUGGCAAGGGCUGUGCACAAUCAAAGAGGGGCGGCUACUUUCCAGCUUGCUGACUUCACUAUGACCUUCCCCACCUAAUCUUCCUCCAUAUAGGCGAGGUAUAGGAGAAGCCCCAGAACUACACUUGAAGCUUCAUUUAGAUCGAUUCCAGUCGCCGCUACACCACAUCAAUCCGUUAUGGCUCGACCCUCUUAGCAGCUACGGAUUCUCCGGGCAGCCAUAUUUGCGUGGAAUUACAUUAGUACAUUAGUUAGACGAGCAGGAGCGUAUGUACCCCGAUUCGCACCAAGUUUUCUCUGUCAAGCAUGGAGAAAGCUCCAAGGAUUGACCCGCUCUACAACCCUAAUUCAUCGUCAUUGGGGCUAUUCUCUCGAAAGAAGAGUGUGAUAGAAGCAUAUUCAUUUUAGCCUAGGGAUCAGCCUAUCAAACAAACAAAAAGUAAGCACAUAUGCGGUCCGCUAGUCUUUGACUUUCUUUGAAGGCUGGUUUUCGAGCGGAAUGGUUUUGACCUUGAAAGUCUUUAGGCUUCUACUAGCCAAAUCAGCCUAGACCUAUUCUAAUAGAUUAGGCCUAGAUUCCCCAACUCCUAAAAAAAAGAAUUUGGAUCAGAAUCGCAAUUUUGUUCGAUUCAGCAGUAGUUGGAAUGGUGUAUCCAGCAGAUGGUCUUUCAUCAGUAAGCGAUGUGCUAGUCGUUGUUGGUGAAUACCUAUCUGGUGUUCAAGUCUCCUGUCCUUGUCCUUCUAUUAGUGGUGGUAUCCUAAGAUUCUGGUUUAGAAAUGAUUGAUUUAUGUAACUAGAAAUUUCAUAAGAGAAGAAAGAUCGUAGCGUAGAAAACAAAGGCCUUUCCUUCACGGGCUUACUUAGUGCUUGUGCUAAGGUUUGAGCUCAACCCAAACAACGGCUAACGAGCCCCUAUCAGAGAAAGCCUUGGUUAAGUAAAGCGCGUUAGCUUUUUUAAGUUAAGGCGCACAUCCUCUUGCUGGGAGAGGAUAAAUCGUUUUGAUUCGAGGCGGAUCCCUUUUUUGUUUGCCUUUACGAGUUGAGUCAAAAAAAUCUCUCGUUACUUAAGGUAAGGUUAUAACACUCUAAUGACAAAGCGUCCGCUCACUGGCCCUUUGAAUAUGGAGAUGUAGUUGCGUGUACUGAUUCUCAUUGAGAUUGGGUUGGUCUUCAGUGUACCGCUUGUGUAGCCUAUGUGAAAUGAACAAGCAAGGGAUUGAGGCGAAAGCCGCAUUCGCGCAUUCAUUUGUUUGGGUACAAGAUCGAAAAGAAUGCAUUGGAUGGAUGUCCGGGCAUUGAGAAGGAAGGACGUUUUCAGAGGCGAAAGGCCAUGGGGAGAUACCGUCUGUGAUCCAUGGAUCUCCGAUCGGGAAACCGUAUCCAAGAUCGGCGGCUAGUCUGCGCUCUUUGGACUUUUAAAACUUAGUGAACUGAAACAUCUUAGUAGCUAAAGGAAGGGAAAUCAAUCGAGACCCUGUUAGUAGCGACGAGCGAGAGCGGAUUGGGGUUUGAAGAAAAACAAACACGAAGCUUCGUUUCUCUUUCGAGUAUGAUAAAUUCCUCAGCAGCAAAGUGUUCACUUCUUUUUCGCCAGGUUUCAUUCGAUUUGUUGUGGAUUGGAUGAUGGAAAAACCAGCAAGCCCCUUUCAUUGAAAUGGCGCAAUGAACUGUAAUUGUGAAAAGGUUGGAAGAUCUGGCCAAAGAAGGUGAUAGCCCUAUAGAUUCAUUCCCAAUGUUUGAUCCUUCCCAGUAAAAUGCGGCGUGUUCGAAUUCUGAUUGCUUUUACGCGAGAAAGGGGGACCACUCUCUAAUUCUGUUCGCAUCGAAUUCUGAUCCGAUGCGAACAAUCAGUCGAAGGAGCUUAGAGCCUUUACUUGAUAUUUAGUAAAGCGCACUCACUCUAACGGCGUACCUUUUGCAUGAUGGGUCAGUGAGAAAAUGGGAACAGCGGCUUAAGCCAUUAGGUGUAGGCGCCUUUCAAAGGUGGAAUCUUCUAGUUCUUCCUAUUUGACCCGAAACCGAUCGAUCUAGCCAUGAGCAGGUUGAAGAGAUCUCUAACAGACCUUGGAGGACCGAACCCACGUAUGUGGCAAAAUACGGGGAUGACUUGUGGCUAGGGGUGAAAGGCCAACCAAGAUCGGAUAUAGCUGGUUUUCUGCGAAAUCUAUUUCAGUAGAACGCAUGAUGUCAAUGGCCCGAGGUAAAGCACUCAAUGGGCUAGGGUGGCCCCAUUUCGCCUUACCAACCCCAGGGAAACUCCAAAUACAGGCCUAGAUCGUUUGUACAGACAAACUUUUAGGGUGCUAAGAUCCAAAGUCAAGAGGGAAACAGCCCAGAUCGUACGCUAAGGUCCCUAAGCAAUCACUUACUGGAAAAGGAAGUGAUCGAACGAUGACAACCAGGAGGUGGGCUUGGAAGCAGCCAUCCUUGAAGAUNNNNNNNNNNNNNNNNNNNNNNNNNNNNNNNNNNNNNNNNNNNNNNNNNNNNNNNNNNNNNNNNNNNNNNNNNNNNNNNNNNNNNNNNNNNNNNNNNNNNNNNNNNNNNNNNNNNNNNNNNNNNNNNNNNNNNNNNNNNNNNNNNNNNNNNNNNNNNNNNNNNNNNNNNNNNNNNNNNNNNNNNNNNNNNNNNNNNNNNNNNNNNNNNNNNNNNNNNNNNNNNNNNNNNNNNNNNNNNNNNNNNNNNNNNNNNNNNNNNNNNNNNNNNNNNNNNNNNNNNNNNNNNNNNNNNNNNNNNNNNNNNNNNNNNNNNNNNNNNNNNNNNNNNNNNNNNNNNNNNNNNNNNNNNNNNNNNNNNNNNNNNNNNNNNNNNNNNNNNNNNNNNNNNNNNNNNNNNNNNNNNNNNNNNNNNNNNNNNNNNNNNNNNNNNNNNNNNNNNNNNNNNNNNNNNNNNNNNNNNNNNNNNNNNNNNNNNNNNNNNNNNNNNNNNNNNNNNNNNCGUGAGACAGUUCGGUUCCUAUCUACCGUUGGUGUUAAAGGGAAAACUGCGAGGAGCCAACCCUAGUAUGAGAGGACUGGGUUGGGCCAACCUAUGGUGUACCGGUUGUUAUGCCAAUAGUAGUGUCGGGCUGCUAAGUUGGUAUGGAAGAACUGUUGCGCCGUGGGAAAUCCUUCUCUAUACAAGUUCUCGGACGAGGUUUUUGAACAGAACUUCGAUAGGCGAGAGGUGUAAGCACUGCGAGGUGUGAAGCGAUCUCGUACUAAACGAAACAACUUUCACUUUCCAUAACAAAAAAAAAUAAAGUCAACCUAUUCCUCCUUACUCUAACAAGUAAGCAAGUCAACUACCUGCAAUUGCGGUCAAUCUCGCUACCUCUUUAGUUGCCGCCCCCUACUUGCUCAUUCGCAAUUACUACAAAGUCGCCCCUCUCUCUAAGGGGGCUUAUGAACUCAGAAACUUUUUCGUAUGUUAUGGGGUCGCGAAGAAUUUUGCUGCCAACCCUAGUUAGCAAGCUGAAAUGAAAAAGUCUUUUCUAAUAAAUAAGGUAAGCUUCAUAGCUCCAACCUAGGGGGUCAUUAGACCGCCGCUUACUUACUAAGCACUGGUUCUAUCCCGGCCAAGCAACCAAAGGGACCUAGGUGGGAAUCGUGAAAAGAAAGAGAAGGGGAAAAAGCGGGGUGGAGUAGUUGGUUAACUCGUCAGGCUCAUAACCUGAAGAUUGUAGGUUCGAAUCCUGCCCCCGCCAUGUCUUGAUUUUGAAAAGUCUGAACUUGAACCCUAGUUUCCAUCAAGCAAAAGCAAGACGGACCAUCUUGAGGGAAGAGGGCAGUUUCCCUGAUGGCUAUGAAUGGCGCGGUGACUAUCCGGAAGAUUUUGAAAAGCUGCCAAGCAAUCAAGCAAUAAAAGAAAGCGAGCAUCACAAAUAUGAGGACAUGAACGCAGAGUUGGAACAGCAUGCCAUGCAUUGUUUUAAAAGAAUUACUACUUUGAAUGAUCAAGAGCAAUACUCUACUUCCACUGAGAUCAAAGCACGAAAGAAAGUCUUUAGUCUGUAUCUGAACCAUAGCCAUAUGCUGAAACCAUAAAAUGAGAUUACCAAGACAAGAGAACCAUAACCAAUAGGAAAGAAAGUUGGCGCAAAAGACAUACCAGACCGGGUCAAAAGAGAGAUUGCCCUCCGGCUGCAUUUCCGAGGAAUUCACUUCAACCACGUACUUCCAUACAUCAGAGGUCAAGCCCUUACAAAGCAAAGCCAACAAGUCAAUUCGGCUUUCUUGAUGUCCAAAGGUGAAGACAAGUAGAGAAUUUACCUUGACCGGAGCACCGAGAACGAGAACAUAGAGUGCCUUUCUUUUUUCAAUUAUGCCCGCUGACCGCUUAAGGAGGUUGAACCCCGAAGGAGAGAUAGGGCUGAAAUUCUCACCUCACUGACGAAGCCUUUAGCAGAUAUCACAUGGGUGGGGCAUUCAUCCUUUUCAAAGGGGCACACUAUUAUUCUGACAACGUCGAUCUGGCCAUAUGGCCCGUAGUGAUGAUAAAUAGAGAAAAACAUCCAACUUCCCUCCUCCAGAUUAGACCAUUGUGCCAAGAGCACCACGAAUGAAAUGAACAAGGACUGAUUUGGAAAGAAGGUUUGAAUACGAACCUGACCUAGAAGGGGCAAGAGAUUUGAGGGAAAUCAAACAAAGGAAGAGAAAUGUGGGACCUGAAGUGAGGACCACGUGGGGCAGGAUCCGACCCAGAGGUUUUGGAGUUGACAGCAGCUUUUCUUCCUCAAAGCCAGCCUCAAGGCACAAAGUGGAGGGCGAAAAGCCUUUUUGAAUAAAGAAAGAGGGACUUCGAUUGUCAUCAAGUGAUUUUUCAUAUACAGAUUCUUGGCCUCAGGUCGAAUUUCCUAGGAACGGAAGGAAUGGCAUAUACUAAGAUGCCGGCGGGAAUGGAUUCUUGAGCCCCUUAUUUACCUGGUGCCAACCUAAUAAAAGAUCGAAGUACCAAAUGCUUAGGUCACCCGAGAGAGGCCUAUGGGGCAUUACGAGAGAAAAAGCUCGUCGUGGGUCAAGACCAGAGAGCUACAGGUACACCAGGGGCAACAGAGCACUCGGGCGGGGUCAGGGCAAGGGCAGCACGUCACGGAAGUUCUCAGCUUAAUCUUACCAAUGCUAUAUCUUGGGUGCGCGAUAUGGUGGGACUGUCUAGCACAGACACCCCCAAGCAUCCCUGAGUUACAGCAGCUGGCAGAGGCAACACAAAUCGGGGAACCGGCAAGUUCUUCCGCAGAAGUAAGGCAGCUAGUAGACCACCUCAAUGAGCAAGCCAGGGAGGUGGCCAGUGAAGCUUCAAUGGAAAGAACACCCAGAGCUCUUGCAAUGUGGACGGCUGGGCUAACGCUAGCAUUCGCUAUCUCCUUAGCGCUUGCUCAAAAGGUCUGGGGUUAUCCUAGUUAUUAAUACGAGCCUCGAAUUUCUGGUAAAAGGUAUACUACGCAAGAAGAGCUCCUCCCCCCUAGAUCUUAGCUUAGGAAAAAAAAGUCGAUCGUAAUUCGAAAAAAAUUAAGGUGGGGCUGGGCAGUAGCACCGAGAUCUCAUAGAGAAGGCAUUUUUCUCGCGGGCUCCCUUUUAGAUGUGGAUUUAGGUGUUUUUUUUUAUGCAAGACGAGUGAAAUGGGAAAAGAAAGGUGGAGGUUGACCUGCUUUGUGACAGAUGUGGAAUGGAGCCUGAAUCUACCAUUCAUGUUUUAAAGGGUUGCCUCUGGGCAUCUGGCAUUUGGCUACUCUGCCCAUUAGCCCUUCAUACUCAACAGAUGCAGGCUCUCAACUUCUCAGAUUGGGUGAAGGAGAUGGGGAAGUGUCUUGAUGAAGAGCAACUGGAACUUAUGCUAGUAGUUGCAUGGGCUUUAUAGAGUGAUAGAAAUUUGUUGUUGUUCCAGGACAUACAGAACUAUCCUGUGGAUGUGGUGAACAAAGCAAUCAGCUUCUUCGAAGAGUAUAAGAAGGAGAAGCUAAAAAUAGUGCAAACACCUAUAGGUUGGCAGGCCCCACCCCAUGGUGUUUAUAAGAUUAAUACUGAUGCUGCAAUUUUUAACCUGCAAGGGAUUGGCUGCUUGCUUCAUCCCGCCCUUCCUUCCCUCACCGCACGUGCCAUAGAUUUAGAUGAAUUAGCUGUUGCGGCGCUCUUCUCUUUUCUAAAGCAAGGAAUUUCCUUUCAUUCAUAAGUCACACAAGAAUUUCUCAAGGUUGCAGGCAAGGCUACUAGAGAAGGGGUGAAACCAGCCAAGGGCAGGCUCCAAGGCGACAAUAGCAAUCGAGUGGCCAAGCGUUGAAAGAAAGGAAGGGCUAGCGGCAAAAAAGAAUAAGAAUAACAGAAGUUCUUGAGGGGAGAUCUUUUCACUCUUUCUCGAUGCAAUAAUAGUCAGUCUAGUGACUUCUUGAUAGCAUUGGUCUCAGAAAGCCCUCCCUCGGUACCGGGCUAAGGAUAGAAGCGAUUCCACCAGAGUGAAAUUUCGUACUUAUCCCAUCUCUCAAGGAAGAUUCGAAGUAGGUACCUAUGUCAUGCUGAAUUUCAAAGUAGUUUUGAGGUAAUCGAUGGCAUAUUGUUAGACAAGUGGCCUCAGAUAUCUUAAGAAGGGGGGGUUGAAUUAAGAUAUCCCAAAAUACUUCCCCAAUUAAAAAUAUAUUUCACUUUCUUUUCAAGUUAUAAAUUCCCUUAACAAUGAACUUCUUAAAUAUUAAUUCAAAUAAAACAAUUUGAAUAUGAACAUAAAACAAUAAUAAACAAAGGAGAUUAAGGGAAGAGAAAGUGCAAACUCAGAUUUAUACUGGUUCGGCCACACCCUUGUGCCUACGUCCAGUCCCCAAGCAAUCCGCUUGAGAGUUCCACUAUCUUGUAAAUUCCUUUUACAAGUUCUAAACACAAAAGGACAAUCCUUCCUUUGUUUUUAGAAUUCCUUUACAACAAGAGACCCACGAUCUCUUAAUCCCUUAGAGAAUGAGGAGAAGAAGAAGAAAGAAUCUCUCUAGAAAGAGAUAGAUUUUACAGAUUGAGCACUCAAAUAAUUCCUUAAUGAACUGCAAUUGAAUUGGCCAAGGAAUUUUUAAGAGGAUAAAAUGAUUUUUGCUCUUUGAGAGGAUAAACACUUGUUGUUCUGAAAAACUCUAUCAAAAAUCGUGUCUCAAGUCACAUAUAUAUAGGCCUAUGAUAGCCAUUCAAUAACCACACAAAAAGAUGUGACUGUUGAGAAUGUUUUCUGAAAAAAACUCCUCUGGUAAUCGAUUACAAUAAGUGUGUAAUCGAUUACACUCUUUAAAAUUUGAAUUAAAACGUUCAGAAACUGCUGGUAAUCGAUUACCAUAUAUGUGUAAUCGAUUACACAGUGCAAAGUUUGAAUUCAAAUUUUAAUAGCUGUUGUAAAUCAGUUUUGGCCACUGGUAAUCGAUUACAUCCUCUGGUAAUCGAUUACCAGAGAGUAAAUUUGUUGAAAAAGACUUUUUUUAACUUAAAAUUCUUGGCCAAACCUUUUGCUACUUCAAUUGGAAUUCCCUUCCUAUUUAAUAUCCUUUCUAAGACUCUAUAGACUGUCUUGAUCAUCCAUCUUGAAUAUCUCUAAUUGCUUUGUCUUGAGUAAAUCUUUGAGAAGCAUAUGAUUCAUGUAACCCUUUGGCAUCAUCAAAAUAUUCAGCUUGAUCCUUUGUCUACAAUCUCCCCCUUUUUGAUGAUGACAAUACCUGAAAUCAAGACAAGCUAUAUACACGAUGAUAGCACGUUCACACAACCCUUACUCCCCCUAUCUUUUGGCAUGUAUGCCUAAUUGAUUUCUAACCCAUAUGUGUUCUCCCAAGUUCUCUCCCCCUUUGGAAACAUCAAAAAGAACUAGAUCAAAAUAAUCAAUAUCCAAACAUUAACACAAUAAAUAUCCAAACAAAGCCAACCAUUAAAUUGAAAUAAAUCCAUACAGCGUCAUAAUUAACAAAAGCGAGAAUUAAAAUAAAAGUGCAAGACUAGAACAAAAAACCAAAUACAUGGCGAUAAAGCAAAGUACUAAUAAUAUUUGACUACUAAUUAAACUAAGUUAGAAUAAUAAUAUAUAAUCUAAGAAGAUGAAGGAGGCGGUGGUGGUGGAUCAAAGCAAGUUCGGAUGAAGGAGACAUCUUCUUCAACCCUAGUGGUCCUUGAUUCCAUAGCAUCGAACCGCAUGUCAACUUGCAAUUCCAUGGCAUCAAACUUGUCACCAACAAAAGUCUGAAGUCCAUCAAACUUGUCCAUAAGCCUUUGAAGAAGAGUGGAAUUAUCUUCAACUGGUAUGUGACCUUCAUCAUCAGCAGGUGGAACACUCUUUUUGACCCAAGAGCCAUCACGCUCUUUGAGGUAACCAAAAGAAGCAAUCACAGCAGCACCAAUUAAAAAAGAUCGCUUGAUUGGAACAUAAGGUUCAUAAUCAAAAGGAAUUUGAAAAUGGCGGAAAAAGAGAGUGACAAGCUGUGGAUAUGGUAAUGGAGCAUUUAAUCACAAUGCCUUAUGCAUGCGAUAUCUGACUAAGUGUGCCCAGUCAAGUUGACGCCCUGUAUGAAAGGCCCACAUGAUAAAGAUCUUCCUCAGAAACCUGGGCAAGGUUGGAAGACCGUGGAAGCAGAAUACGCACAAUUAAAUAGUCAAGGAUGCGACUUUCAAAAGCCAAUGACCCGGCAAGAAGACGUCCGGUCAUAUCCGCAUUGUUGGUGCAAACCAACUGGCGGGCAUCAUGGGCACAGAAAUCAAAUUUCCAGUCGUCAUUCAGUGUACCUUCAAAUGGUACACCGUCACUGGGUAAUUUGGUUAAGUCAUGGAAAAGGGACUGGUCAAUGACCAUUUUUAUCCCAAAAAUUUCAGAAAUCAGAGUGUUGUCCUUAAUUUCAAGAUUACAAUAAAAAGCUUUAACCAAUUCAGGAUAAAUAGGCAAUUGUAAUGACAUAAAAGGUAGAAGACCUAAGUUCUUAAAGGCUUGAAUGCAAUCAAAGGUUUCAGCAGAAAAGAAUUCCAUAUCAAUAAACUUAGGGUCGAUAAUGGAACGAGAUGAGAAAAGAUUGGAGUACCAUUUCUGCUGUUCGUUGGAAGAAAACACUGGGGAAGAGGACAAUGAGGGUGGAAUUGGUGCUGUGGAUGCACUAGUGGCUCCAGAACGAUGAGCUCUUGAAGCCGAAGCGGAGGCGGAAGAACCCUUUCGUUUCUUUGACGAUUCUGCCAUUUGAGGGAGUUGUUGCAGAUUUUAAUCGGUGAAAUCAAAAGAAAAAUGAAAAAGAAGAAGAUUGCAAUUUACGGGAGUUGAUUUGAUCAAGAAAUGAGUGAGAUAGGAAGGUUUGAAGGUUUAGGAAUGGAGGUACGGCGCAAGGAGGAAGGGGCUGCGCAGGAGAUUCUGAAAACGUGAUAUUUAUAGAGCAGGACGCGUGGUAAUCGAUUACAAGUAAUGGUAAUCGAUUACAAGAGGAGGCAGCCUACUGGUAAUCGAUUACAUGAAUACUGUAAUCGAUUACAAGCCAUCUGUUCUAGUGUAAUCGAUUAUAGUAUUCAUGUAAUCGAUUACCAGAACAAAAAAUAGCCUUUUCCUUAAGGAAAACUUAUUUCUUAAGUCUUAAAACUUAUGUUAUUUAAAGAGUUAAUUAUACUAACAAGAAAAGUAAACUAAAUUAAACAAAACAAGCGUCAUACUUCAUCAAAAACACAAUCAAUCAUUCAUAAAAAAAAAUUACCUAUUCAAAUCACUAAGGUCUAAAAGCCCUAAUUCUCUUCUUAUUGAAAAGAAUAUUUCUUUUGGGAGAGGUUUUGUAAAGAUAUCAGCAAGCUGAUUCUUUGUAUCAACAAACUCUAAUAUACAAUCUCCCUUUAGGACAUGAUCUCUAAGAAAAUGGUGCCUAAUUUCUAUAUGUUUGGUUCUAGAGUGUUGAACAGGGUUUUUGGACAGAUUUAUGGCACUAGUAUUAUCACACCUAAUAGGUAUACGAUCAAGAAGGAUACCAUAGUCAGAUAAUUGUUGCUUCAUCCAUAAAAUCUGUGCACAACAACUGCCGGCAGAAAUAUAUUCCGCUUCAGCAGUGGACAAAGCAACACUGUUUUGUUUCUUACUAUGCCAUGAGACAAGAGCAGAUCCAAUGAAUUGACAAGUUCCACUUGUGCUUUUUCUAUCAGUUUUAGAUCCGGCAAAGUCAGAAUCAGAAUAUCCUAUUAAGUUACAUGUUGAGUUCUUAGGAUACCAUAAUCCUAAAUUUAUUGUACCUAAUAGAUAUCUCAUGAUUCUCUUAACUGCACUCAAAUGUGAUUGUUUGGGGUUGGAUUGAAACCUAGCACACAUGCAUACACUAAACAUAAUAUCAGGCCUACUAGCAGAUAAAUAGAGAAGAGAUCCGAUCAUACCUCGAUACUGUUUCAUGUCUAUAGAUUGACCAGAUUCAUCUUUAUCUAAGUAACAGCUAGUGCUCAUCGGUGUAGCCAUGUGUUUUGCACUUUCCAUCCCAAAUCUUUUUAUUAAUUCCUUGCAGUACUUGGCUUGAUUGAUGAAUAUACCUUCUUGAGUUUGCUUGAUUUGUAAUCCCAGGAAGUACUUUAGUUCUCCCAUCAUUGACAUUUCAAAUUCACUUUUCAUAUCAAGGGAAAACUCCUUGCACAAUGAAUCAUUAGUGGAUCCAAAAAUUAUAUCAUCAACAUAUAUUUGAACCAACAAAAUAUCAUUAUGUUUUCUCUUUAUGAAUAAUGUGGUAUCCACUUUACCUAUAGAGAAUUCUUUUUCUAGAAGAAAAUUACUUAAGCGUUCAUACCAAGCCCUAGGGGCUUGUUUCAAACCAUAAAGAGCCUUUUGCAAUUUAUAAACAUGAUUUGGUUUAUCUGGGAUUUCAAAGACUAGGGGUUGUUCAACAUAUACUUCUUCUUGAAUUAAACCAUUUAGAAAAGCACUUUUAACAUCCAUUUGAUAGAGUUUAAAAUUCAUUAUGGAUGCAUAUGCUAAGAGCAUUCUAAUGGCUUCUAAUCUUGCAACUGGAGCAUAUGUUUCUUCAUAGUCUAUUCCCUCUUCUUGAUUAUACCCUUUUGCUACUAACCUAGCCUUAUUUCUAAUAAUUAUGCCAUGUUCAUCUAAUUUAUUUCUAAAAACCCAUUUUGUUCCUAUGAUAGGAUAAUUUUCAAGUUUUUCUACUAGUUUCCACACAUUAUUUCUUUCAAAUUGAUUCAGUUCUUCUUGCAUGGCAAUGAUCCAGUUAUCAUCUAUUAUGGCUUCUUUUAUAUUUUUAGGUUCAAUCAUAGAUACAAAAGCCAUAUUAUUGCAUAAAUCUUUAAGAGAAUGUCUAGUUGUUACCCCUUUUGAGAUAUCACCAAUAAUGUUGUCGAGGGGAUGAUCUCUUGAAGCUUUCCAUUCUCUUGGAAGUUCAUCAUUGGAUUUGACUUCUUCUGGAGGAUCUUCAUUGUUUCUUUAUCAUUUCCUUUGGAAUCUUGUUCAUGAAUAUUCAUAUGUUCUAAAGAAUCUGCAAUAUCAUCUAGCAUAUUCUUUCUUGACAAGAUAGCAUUAGAUUCAUCAAAGGUAAUAUGAAUGGAUUCCUCGAUAUUCAUAGUUCUUUUAUUAUAUAUCCUAUAUGUUUUGCUUUGUAAUGAAUAUCCAAGAAAAAUACCUUCAUCAGAUUUUGCAUCGAAUUUUCCUAGAUUAUCUUUACCAUUAUUAAGCACAAAGCACUUGCAACCAAAAACAUGUAGAUGAGAAAUAUUAGGUUUUCUACCAUUAUAUAACUCAUAUGGGAUUUUCUUUAAAAUGGGUCUUAUCAAGGCCCUAUUCAUGAUGUAACAUGCAGUAUUGACAGCUUCAGCCCAAAAAUACUUUGGAAGAGAAGUAUCAUUUAAUAAAGUUCUUGCAAUUUCUUCCAAUGACCUAUUUUUCCUCUCAACAACUCCAUUUUGUUGAGGGGUUCUAGAUGCAGAAAAAUUGUGUUCAAUGCCAUGUUCAUCACAGAAUAAUUCAAAAUCUUUAUUUUCAAAUUCACCCCCAUGAUCACUUCUAAUGGAUGCAAUCUUGAGAUUUUUCUUGUUUUGUAUGACUUUAGCAAGUUUUCUAAAUGCUUGGAAUGAAUCACUUUUAUGUGUAAUAAAUAAUGUCCAAGUAUAUCUAGAGAAAUCAUCAACUAUAACUAGAGCAUAGUAAUUUCCUCCAAAACUCAUGGUUCUAGAUGGACCAAAUAAAUCCAUAUGCAAUAAUUGUAAAGGUUGAGUGGUUGAAACAACAUUUUGAGGUUUGAAUGAGACUCUUGUUUGUUUGCCCUUUUGACAUGCAUCACAUAAUUUAUCUUUUUCAAAUUUCAAUUUAGGCAAACCAACUACUAAAUCUUUUGAAAUUAAUUUAUUUAAGUGAUCCAUGUUUAUGUGAGCAAUUCUUUUAUGCCAUAACCAUGGACCAUCAUCUUUGCUAAGAAAGCAAUGAUUGUUUUCUAGUUUUAUGCUUAAGUCUAUCAUGUAAACAUUAUUGACUCUAUGUCCUACAUGCUUUAUAUUAAUGUCAUGCUUAUGUUCUAUAAGACAUUUUUUAGAAUCAAAUGAUACUAGAUAGCCUUUGUCGCAUAAUUGACUAACGCUAAGCAGGCUGUGCUUAAGGCCUUCAACAAGUAGAACAUUUUCAAUGGAGUUUGAAGAAUUUGUACCUAUUUUACCAACUCCAAGGAUUCUACCUUUUUUGUUGUCACCAUAUGUUACAUGCCCGUUUUUCUUUGGAGAGAUAUGUGUAAAAUUUGAUGCAUCUCCAGUCAUAUGUUUUGAGCAUCCGCUAUCUAUGUACCACUUCUUCCUCAAAGACACCUACAUAUCAAGUUUUUGACUUAGGUACCCAAACUUUAUUGGGUCCUUGCAUGUUAGUAUAAACUGAGGAUCCUUUUGGGACCCAUAUCAUUUUAAUGUUGCUGUAAUUUUUCUUGAAGUAGCAAGUUGAUAUGCCAUGUCCUCUUCUUCCACAGUAAAAACAAGUUAUAUAAUUACAUUUUUGUGUGGAAGUAGAAAAGUUUUUAUAAAAUUUUUGUUGUUUUUCAUAUUUAUACCCUAGUCCAUUCUUAUUGGAAACAUAUCUUUGUUUACUUAAUAUGACAUCUAAAUUAUUUUUACUAUAAGAAAAUUUAGCAAGUGAAUUUUUUAACUCUUUAAUUUCUUUUUCAUAUUUUUCACAACAACUACAAGGAUCUGAUAGUUUCUUGCCAGAAAUAGUGAAGAUAUUAACUUUUUCAUUUGUUUUAGAAAUUAAGACUUCAUUUCUAAGAUGAUCUAAUUCUAUGUUUAAUUUUGAGAUUUCAUUUUCUAAAUUUGAAAUUGUUUUCUUUGAAGAUGAAACUAAUUUUGCAAGUUUAAUUGACUCUUUACGCAGAUCAGCAAAUGCUUCUUGCAAUUCAUCAAAAGAAAUAGAUAAGUUAUUUGAAGAUGUUACCUCUUCAUCACUUUCGUAACUCUUAGCCAUAAGGCAGAGAUUUAUCUCUUCAUUUUCUGAAUCUUCAGAAGAUUCCAUAUCAUUUUCAUCCCAUGUGAUGUAUGCUUUCUUCAGUUUCUUUUCACUAAGAUUUUUCUUUUCAGAUUUCUCCAUCUUUUUCUUGAAGAUGGGACAAUCAACCCUCAGAUGUCCAGGUUGAUUACAUUCAAAGCAUUUUAAAAUAGAGGAUGAAUUUUCUGUCCUUCUCUUUGAUUUAAAAUUGGGUCGCCUCUGAUUUCCUCUUACUUUAAGAAACUUGUUGAAUCUUUUUACAAAAAGACUUAGAUCAUCAUCAUCAUCUGGAUCAUUUUCCUGAUCACUUUCUUCUUGAAUUGAGGAUGAUGCUUUAAGAGCAAUUCCUUUCUUUUUCUUGUCAUUUUCUUCAUGUUGGUGUAAUCUCAAUAAUUCCAUCUCGUGUUCCUGCAACUUUCCAAAUAAAGUGGCAAGGGACAUGUUAGACAAAUCUCUUGAUUCAGUAAUGGCCGUUACUUUGGGUUGCCAUUCUCUACUUAAACAUCUUAACACCUUGUUUAUGAGAUCCUCAUUUUAAAAUUCUUUACCUAAGGCUGCUAGAUGAUUUACUAUAUGUGUAAAUCUCUUUUGCAUGCUUUGAAUAUUUUCAUUUGCAUUCAUUCUAAAUAAUUCAUACUCAUGAGUUAGUGCAUUUAUCCUAGAUCUUUUAACAUCUGUAGUUCCUUCAUGUGUUAAUCGAAGAGUGUCCCACAUUUCCUUAGCACUCUUACAAUUUGAAACCCUGAAAUAUUCAUCCAUUCCCAGGGCAGAUGUUAUUAUGUUUUUGGCUUUUAAAUUGUAUUGUACUCGUUAUCUAUCCUCUUCAGACCAUCUAUCUCUAGGUUUUUCUAUAGUUAUACUUUCACUUGAUGAACUGCCAUCUAUUGUAAUUCUUUCUACUGUGGUGGGUAUAUAAGGCCCUAUUUCUAUGGCUUCCCAAAUAUUUAGGUCUAUUGCCUCAAUAAAAAUUUGCAUUCGGGUUUUCCAGUAAUGGUAACCCUCUCCAUUAAAGAUUGGAGGUCUAUUGAUAGAAUUCCCUUCUGGAAAUAAGGAGUUUGCUGAGGCCAUCUUUUUCUUGAAGCUUCUAAACUUUAUACAAGAAUGAAGCUCUGAUACCACUAGUUAGACAAGUGGCCUCAGAUAUCUUAAGAAGGGGGGGUUGAAUUAAGAUAUCCCAAAAUACUUCCCCAAUUAAAAAUCUAUUUCACUUUCUUUUCAAGUUAUAAAUUCCCUUAACAAUGAACUUCUUAAAUAUUAAUUCAAAUAAAACAAUUUGAAUAUGAACAUAAAUCAAUAAUAAACAAAGGAGAUUAAGGGAAGAGAAAGUGCAAACUCAGAUUUAUACUGGUUCGGCCACACCCUUGUGCCUACGUCCAGUCCCCAAGCAACCCGCUUGAGAGUUCCACUAUCUUGUAAAUUCCUUUUACAAGUUCUAAACACACAAGGACAAUCCUUCCUUUGUGUUUAGAAUUCCUUUACAACAAGAGACCCACGGUCUCUUAAUCCCUUAGAGAAUGAGGAGAAGAAGAAGAAUGAAUCUCUCUAGAAAGAGAUAGAUUUUACAGAUUAAGCACUCAAAUAAUUCCUUAAUGAACUGCAAUUGAAUUGGCCAAGGAAUUUUUAAGAGGAUAAAAUGAUUUUUGCUCUUUGAGAGGAUAAACACUUGUUGUUCUGAAAAACUCUAUCAAAAAUCGUGUCUCAAGUCACAUAUAUAUAGGCCUAUGAUAGCCAUUCAAUAACCACACAAAAAGAUGUGACUGUUGAGAAUGUUUUCUGAAAAAAACUCCUCUGGUAAUCGAUUACAAUAAGUGUGUAAUCGAUUACACUCUUUAAAAUUUGAAUUAAAACGUUCAGAAACUGCUGGUAAUCGAUUACCAUAUAUGUGUAAUCGAUUACACAGUGCAAAGUUUGAAUUCAAAUUUUAAUAGCUGUUGUAAAUCAGUUUUGGCCACUGGUAAUCGAUUACAUCCUCUGGUAAUCGAUUACCAGAGAGUAAAUUUGUUGAAAAAGACUUUUUUUAACUUAAAAUUCUUGGCCAAACCUUUUGCUACUUCAAUUGUAAUUCCCUUCCUAUUUAAUAUCCUUUCUAAGACUCUAUAGACUGUCUUGAUCAUCCAUCUUGAAUAUCUCUAAUUGCUUUGUCUUGAGUAAAUCUUUGAGAAGCAUAUGAUUCAUGUAAUCCUUUGGCAUCAUCAAAAUAUUCAGCUUGAUCCUUUGUCUACACAUAUUGCCUAGAAGCGUCAAAGACAGUGAUAUAUUUCGGUGUCGAUAUCGACUUUGUUCAUCGAACCGACUCUGUUUAUCUCCGACUAAACCGACUCUUUGUCCCGAUCCGGUAACUACACGGCUUAUUGUGGUAAAAGGGAAAGUCAAACUCACAACUCUUUUUCCUUUUCUCGUGCACUUUCCUAAGGGCUACGUACUUCACUCCAUUACCUUCUAUUUGAACUCUGACACUUCUCUCAUUGUGAAAUUUCUAUCUAAGUCCUGACAGCCCCUAACUUUGGCAAAGACUACUCGCUCGCUUUAAAAGCAACUCCAUUGAGUCCUGUCAGAUCGUUUAUAUAUAACCUUUAUUCAUAUAUGACCUUAGAAAGGUUCUGAAAGAAAGAAGAGUUCCAUUCGAUUAUCCGGGCUCAUUGCCUAGUCCCUCUAAACUAUCUAAAGCCUGGGGAUUCUCCUUACCAGAUGAUCUCCAGCCUGCAUUGUGCCCCUCUCGGAUACCCUGCAGGGUCGACGUAACUCUUACCUAGGUAGACUGGCUAUCCAACUGAAUCGAGAACCCACCUCGCACUACUUCUUCGUAAGUGAGGUGAGGUACUUCUUUUGAAUAGGCAGGGUUGUUCUAGGAUGACUCAAGUGACGAUGCUAACACCAAGGUUGCUUGCAAAGCAUCGGAUAUGCGAAAGAGGGAGAAUGUGCUACAUCGGAUAUUGUUGUAGUUGAUGAAAGAGUUGUAGUUUAUGCUAAAGCAUCGGUUACGAAUGACCCAAUCUAUCUAUGGUAACCACCCAUACUUUUAGUAGAUGGAGAUGCGCACCUAGGAAAGACGGAUGAAAGAGAACCUACCCUAAGAGAUUGGCAUAGGCCUGUGGGCCCGCUGUGGUAGAAGGCCUUUGUUGGCCUGUCGAUCUAUCCUGAUUAACUUACUGACGCUAUUUCUGACUAGAGAGAGGGCUUAGAUCGGAGAGGAGCAGCUCCUUUCUUUUUAACAUAAAGCAGUGAUGAAUGGGACGGAGCUGCUACAAUCAAUAGCUUCAGCUGCUUUAUGUAUUGGAGCAGAGGUGGCAGUUAGCAGCAGGAAUAGGACCAGCAACUAGGGUUGUUCAUAGAGCAGCCGUCUUUCCGUCUCAAGCGGAGAAGACAUCAAAAGAAUCUUUAUCUAUGGCUCUACCAGGGAAUCCUAGUUAGUUAUAGGGUUCUGAACCAGAGCAGAGAUAGGAAAAAGCAUAUCCUAUGUAUACUGAACUUGAGCUUGCUUACCAUAGGACUGCUAUUGGAUAGGUUUACCUUUUUUCUCGAACUCGCUUAUUAUAGUGGGAAGCUCGGCUGGUAAGGGAUUCUAUUAGGAUAGGACACCAACUGUAAGAACUGGCCUUAGUACUGCAGCAAUUGGAAGGAGAACUGAAAAGACCUUUGACCAUUUCAUUUGGUAGCACGUUUAGCUCGUUAUGAAACGUAUUGUUAGAACUAGAAGUGUUCUUAGUCCAGGUAAGAGUCCAAUGCUAGAUUAAUAAUGUAAAAUAUGAGAUAUCCUAAGGUAUUUAAUUGCUUGUUUGAUAGAAUAAGGAGGAAAGAAGUUUGUUUCCUAUUGAUAGUGGCACUCCCACAGGCUGGCGGGGAUCUCCCAUAUGGAUGGCUGAGAAUAAUUCAUAUACAGGCUAUAGGCUUGAAAAGAGUGCUAGCUUUCGUUAGGCCUUUCUUUUCCUAAAGAUAGGAUCCCACCUUCCCUAAUUCUGAGCAAGAACAUCUUAUUCAAUUCAACAAGUGCUACCCACUAAUCUAAUCUAAUCUAAUCUCAGUCGAAUGCUCCUUCAGUUUAAGGGGUAAGUCCUCAAUGAAAAGCCAUAAUUCUUAACCGUUCGGAUCCCAUAUACGCAUGGGCUACUUCACUCCUUUCUUUAUUUCACGUUUUCUCGGGAAAAUUAGUUGCAAAUAGAUUUCUGCCCAUAAAUGGACAUUCAAAUUGAUCAACUCGCUAAAACCCCGUAUUUUUUAUUGCAAGUCAAUUUUUGCCUAUAGACGGACAUUGAAAUGGAUACAGUUUCAUUUUCCCAGGAAUUUUGCUUUCAAAUGGGAAAGAUUGGCUGAAUUCCUAUCCCAAGAGCAGAUUCUGAUUCAGUAGUUUUCUUCAGGUAGGGUUGGCUUGAGCUUGAGACAGAUGUGGUUCUUCUGGGUCAGUGCCAAUGGGAACUACAUAUCAAAGAGAUCGGGUUCCAUUUAGUUCCAAAGAUUGGUAGGGAUAGGGAUCAAUUCAAUCGACCUACUUCCCCUUACUAUAAAUAUAAAUAGUAAAACUACUCUGUCCCAUAGUGAGAGUGGAGUUCCAAGCGACCAUUUUCUGCCCAGCUUUCUUUCCUUUUGUGAAAGCAUAUGACAUAGUUAAAGAAAAAGAAGAGAAUGCAAGUGGAACUUCAUCCGUAAGCGGUGUUGGAGGACUAGCAAUUGAAUCAGCUGUUGAUGCAAUAAAAGUUGUGAUCCUAGGAGCUGCACAUGAUGGGGAAUAGUCGGUGCAUCGAUAUUCUGUAAGUGUUCCAUAAACCGGAGGAUUUCCGCUUUGAGAUCUCAAAGGAGCUCAUCUGAAGCCCCUCCCAGGCCAAGUUCCCUCACUGAAAAAGCUAGAGAAAGGUUGCUCAGCCCCGACUUCCCUAGGCCAUUCGUUCAACUCGCCUUUUGGCGACUACACUUCCUACCCAAAAUAAUAGAUAGAAAUAUCGCAAAUAUAGCCAUUGCAACACCCAUCAAGGGAGUAGUUCCCCACCCCGGAGCUACUUUACCAUAUUCUAAAUUUAAUGGUUUCAAUAAAUCACCUACAACAGUUCGUCUUGGACCAGAUCUAGAAUUAUCUUCAACGGUUUGCGUAGCCAUAAAUACUAUUUUUUAUUCAUUGAGAUCUGUUUACUUUGUAUAUCAUUCCGCUGUAAAUAUAAGGAUCUUAUCCUAUAGAUCUAUUGUGGUCUUGAAACUUUAUAAUUCUAAUAAUGGAAACAGCAACCCUAAUUUCCAUCUCUAUCAGCUAGUUAGCUAGCCGCUCUUUCCCUAGUCUUAGCUAGUCUCAUUUUCCUUCGGCUUCUUGUAAGGCUCACUUCACUUCUCUUGAAAGACAAGAAAGGGAAGAGAUUACUAUGUAGCUAACAGGAGAGGUAUGAAGUUCUCGACCUUAGGGAGAGGUUAGAAUACGCUCUCCCUCAUAGCCCAAGGAAGGGCAAUAGCUUGAUUACUUAACUGCCAGUUCCAAUGUCACCUCGUUCUAUCUAUCUUCCUUCCGUUACCUUGUUCUUCUUGCCACUGGGGCUUCAACCUUUCCAUCAUUUCCUGCGAUCGAGCUAGCAUAGCAUCCAUCCUUAUUAAUUAAAGCAUGAUGCUGCUAUUCUGCUCGGCAUAUUUCUUCGGGAUUUUCCCUUGGUCAAGUAAAGGACCAGGUGAGCUGAAGGCGAGCCGGGGGACGUAAAGUGCUCUAUAAGCACAAUAAGGCGGGGAACUCAUCACAUAUAUAAUCUAGUUGUUGUUCGUACCAUCACUCUAUGGUCGAAUGGACUCGUAAGGACGAAAUGAAAUACCCCAUCAUAUCACUCUAAGGUCCUGCGGGGAACUAUUGAAGCUUCCAGCUUUCCACCUAUAUGGAUUGUUUGAGCGUAAAUAGAUUUUGUACGCGUCCAGUCUAGUCUCUCUAAGCCCUGAAACCGUAACUAUGGCUAUGUUCUGAGAUUCGUCUUUUCUGUUGUUCAAAGAUCUCUCCGAUUCCUUUUCUUUCGAAGUGGCAUUGCCCAAAGUCGAAUCAAAGGCUUGACAGGGUCUUCUUAGCCCAUGCUAACUAGAAUAGUUAGUAGCUUAUAGGAUCCCAAAGCAAUAACCACAGAUGGAGGAGCAUUCGUCUUUUUAACCAGUUUUCAAAAACCAAGAUAUCCUGCCUAUCCCGAAAAACGGACUCCCUCAAAAAAAAAAGUAGCUUCAUAGCAAGAGUGGUUUUGACUAAGCAUAUGACAAAGGCUCGGCCGAAGCUAGAGCUAAGUGGCUGUUUCAGGGUAAGUAUGGAAAGCAUAGGUCGACUUAUGAUCAUUGAUUGGAUUGGUUAAUUUACUUAAAAAUCCGAAAGGGCAGCCUAUAGACAUCAUUUUGAGGGAAAUUAACACUGAGAUGAUGAAAAAUAUAGACCGGUGUGUCAUUGGUCUUUCGUUCGUAGUGGGAUAAACUAAC
rnacentral:lncRNA from 1 species